GACGAACCGUGCGAACGUUGUUCGGAUUCACUGGGCUUAAAGGGCGCGUAGGCGGGCGGUCAAGUCAGGGGUGAAAUCUUUCGGCCUAACCGGAAAAGGGCCUCUGAUACUGGCCGUCUCGAGGGAGGUAGGGGCAUGCGGAACUUCCGGUGGAGCGGUGAAAUGCGUAGAUAUCGGAAGGAACGCCGGUGGCGAAAGCGGCGUGCUGGACCUCUUCUGACGCUGAGGCGCGCAAGCCAGGGGAGCGAACGGG
rnacentral:rRNA from 1 species